CGGAGUUGAUAGAGUCGAGUUUUGGAACGUACCCCUGAAUGGAUGUUCAGCCGAUGAUGGCAACACAUGUGAGGCAAUAUAACGUAAUAUACAUUCACGAUUCACCAUGCCAUCGUAUUGCUCUGUAUACAAGUGUUCCAAUAAUAGCGAUCAAGACUAUGCAUUAGUCAGAUAACCGCGCGAUGAAACUGAACUUUAAAAAGAAAAUGGAUUGCUGCGGUAAGAAGAGGCAAAAACUGGUCACCUAGCAGUUCUCAAAAACUUUGCGAGGUACAUUUUGAGCCUUCUGAAAUCGAAUUUGUUGCUGGAUGUAAACGAGUAAAAUUUGAUUCAGUUCCACCUCGUUUUUGUACAUGUUUCUCAGAGGAUCGAAAGAACUGUCAUGUUGGAAAGGUCUUCUUUUGAUUGAACAAUAUCAUUUUUCUGGAGUUCUGAAAUUUUUCUUCU